GUGACCUGCCUGAAAUACAACAACCUCUGUUCAUAUCAUACGAUCUGCAGGAUAAGAAAACUGUGCCAGUGAAAGGAUCAGAGGUGAAAAGAACAAGAAGAGACCUUGGAGAAUGGGGAGAGAAUAUGUUCAAGAUAUUUGCGAGACAAUCAGAUUGGACACAGAGGCAAUUGAUCCAAGAGACAGACCAGCCUGUAAAGGCCAUCAUGUGGCUUCUUUUGGGGGAAAGAAAUAUCAGAGUUCUUAAGGCUUUGCAGAAUAAGCAUAUCAUAUACAGAGGUGGAAAAUUUUCUAUGUAUAAUGUGAUAUACUAUAGUUCCAAGGGUCUUAAAGAAUGACAAGUAGUACAGUUCC